GGGAGGAGGGGUAGUUUGCUCCCGCCUCCGAAAUCCAAACCCCUCUAAGUCUUAGGUUUUUACGGACUUAGGUGAGGAAAAAGGGUCCUCCGCGGCAACUUUCCCGGGAAGGCCGCCCCGGUUCUGGUUCGGAGGCGCCCAGGAGCGGCGCGGCCCGCUGCUGUUUUUUGUCAGUGUUUGCCGUGGAAGCACACCCCCACCCCCAUCUUUAACGCGAGCCCGUCCUGGCUGGUUUUAUUUUUGCACUUGGUUAUAGCAGAGCGAAGGAGCUCUAAUGACACUUUUUUAGAGUCAGGAAUGUUUUUGUCCUUUUCGAUUCCCACAAGGGCUUCGCGCUAGGCUGGUGGCGGGAUCGGGGUGGGGGGGGGCUGGCCUUGGGCCGCGGAGGCCCGGAGAGGCGAGGCUCGUGCUCCCGGUGACGACGGUGGCGGGCUGAGGUCUGGCUCCGGCGAAACCUGCAGUCUCUCUCCCUCCUGGCUGUCUCCCUGAACUCUGGUUGGGAAAAAAAGAGCUGCGGAUCAGGAAGCCGAAAACCCGCUUUGGGAGACGAGGAAAUUCGUGUCCGAGAAAAUAGUGUUUCUCCCAUAAACGUGUUUGUUGUCCAAGCGACAGUAAAGGUGGAGUUUCCCAGCUACGACCCCUCUGGCUGGUUUCCCUAAGCCCUGGGCGUGGCCCCCUGUCCCGCCAGGAUGAUAACCCCAGGAACAGAGCAGAGGGAGCCGCAGAGGGAGAGCAAGAAGCAGGCUCUCUGCUAAGCAUGGAGCCCGUUUCGAGGCUUGAUCGGAUGAAGACCUAGGCGGAAGGCAGACGCUCAACUGAGCGACCCAGCGAAGGGUCAACAUCGAAGCCACUGAGCUCCCAGAGGAGUGUUACUCUGCCUGUUUCAAGGACUUGUCAGUGGGCUGCAAGUGGUUGUCUUCAGUCGUACCCCCCAGAGAUAUUCGCCCAACCAGUCCUCUGUGACCCCAGCCUACAGCAGGGUUGAACAACUUGGUGUCUGUCCUCAAGUUGCUCAACAUCCAGGGCCUAAUUCAGUGGCAGAAGUACAGUGUUGCACAACCAUCUCCACUGUCCAUGACCAGAAGUUUUCCAUCAUCCAGAGCGAUACUCUGUCCCCAUUACACAGUAAGACCCCAUCUUCCCCGCCCCCCCAGCCCCUGGUAACCUCUCUUCUACUUUCUGUUUCUAUGAAUUUGA